AUGUCAUCCUCCACCCCAAAGCAGCCAGUGGCAAGGCCUACAACUGCUGAAGACGCACCACCGGUUCAGAUGUCGGCCGCUGAAGCAGUAGGGGGAGACCCAGCUGCAGCACAUGCUCAGCAGACCAACCUGGUGGAACAGACUGAUGCUUCAGAACCGCCUGCUAAGCAGUCUGUAGGUCCAGAACUGACUGCUCAUCAGUCCGUCAGUCCGCAGUCGCGUGAUCAGCAUACAAGUGCGUCAGCACUUCUUGCUCAGCAAACCAACACGUUGGCACGGCCUCCUCAGCACGCCGACAAGUUGGCACCACCUACUCAGAAACCCAACAAAGCUUCAACGCAUGGUCAGCAGUGCGAUGCCUAUGCUCCUACAGCCCAGCAGUCCUUCACAGCAGCACCGCCAGCUCAGCUCUCCGGCAUAGAUAAACCGUCUGCUAAGCAGUCCGUCCAAGCUUCCUCGUCUGCUCGGCAGUCUCCCUUGCAGGCAACCAGACGUUCUGCCAGAAAUGCUUCAAGUACCAAGAAGGAAGUGGCCAAAAAGGCUACACCCACGACCACGAGGAAGCGCGGCGGGAAAGUGAAGAGGAAAGAGAACGAUUGCCUCUUACUUAAAGCACUAAUUGCCCGAAACCAAAUUAACAACAGCUUGUUCGAAUCGGGGAGUAAUAUUAUUUCUGACGCCAUGGAUGAUGAAGAAAGCAGAGAUCAUUUCCGACACGAUGCUGGUUCCAUCAAUGGAUUGAACGCGCAGAGAACAAAAAGGGAGAGUGUGUAUUUCAUAAAUCCUGAAUUAGCAAAUGGCACAACAAUACUUGGUGAGGACCGACGGGACUGGGCCGUUAACACGGUCGUCCGUCUCUUCGAAAACACGUCCCAUGCAGAAUCAUUUCUCUGGCCAUAUCAUGAAGGUGCGCUCGCACUGUGGAAAACUACACCAGGGAACAUGUUCAAGAGGGAACUACCUUUGCAGCACGAGAUCGUUUCUCUGUGUCCUCAGCAAGAAGCAGGGACCAACCUUUGUGGAUACUAUGUUUGCAGACACAUGAUCUCCAUCUGCAAAUCUGCUGACAGUUGUGACGAUCCUCGCGAAUUAGUACCAAAAAUGUGUGGGAUCCCAAACAAAAAGCACGCGUCACUCUUGCGGCAACCGUCGAUGAUACCCAACAAAUCACAAACGGUCUGCAGCACUUGUAUCAGCCGGCAGCUAGGCGGUUGCUCUCCCAUCCUCCCCAAUCCUCCCCUCGAUCUCGUCGGAGCGGGCGGAGACCGGGCCGCGGCGAUGACGGUGAUCGACAUCCUCACGCGGGUGGACGUCAUCUGCCAGAAGUACGACAAGUACGACGCCGAGAAGCUCAACGGCGCCAACGUCGCCGGCGAGGACCCCUUCGCCCGCCUCUAUGGCUCCAUCGACGCCGAGAUCUCCUAUCUGCUGCUGCAGAAAGCGGAGGCGGCGAGGCAGGAGAAGAACCGGGCCACGGUCGUUGCGCUCAACACCGAGAUCCGCCGCACCAAGGCCAAGCUCCUCGAGGAGGACCUGUCCAAGCUGCAGCGCCUCGCGCUCAAGAAGGAAUAUGAGAUGCAUAGAAUGAAGCAGGAUGAAGGUUUGGAUGUUAUUGGUGAAGGGCUGGCAACUCUGAAGAACAUGGCAUCGGAUAUGAAUGAGGAAUUGGAUAGGCAAGUUCCCUUGAUGGAUGAAAUGGAUGACAAGGUGGAUAGAGCCAAUGCAGAUCUGAAGAAUACCAACUGUGCUCAAGAAGUGAGUGAGGUGCAACGAUGUGCUCAUGUCGCGGUCGGUGGUGGUCUUGCAUUGGCUCCUCUACUUAUCAUGUCCUGCUGUGAUAGGCUUCAACAUGUGCCACGAGUAAUUCGUUUCGUCUCAUCUGUGUAA
rnacentral:rRNA from 1 species